rnacentral:rRNA from 1 species
GACGAACGCUGGCGGCGUGCUUAACACAUGCAAGUCGAACGGUGAAGCGCCUUCCUUUUUGGUGGGUGUGGAUGAGUGGCGAACGGGUGAGUAACACGUGAGUAACCUGCCCCCUUCUUCUGGAUAACCGCAUGAAAGUGUGGCUAAUACGGGAUAUUCUGGGUCUGUCGCAUGAUGGGUCUGGGAAAGAUAUUGUUUCGGUGGGGGAUGGGCUCGCGGCCUAUCAGCUUGUUGGUGGGGUGAUGGCCUACCAAGGCGGUGACGGGUAGCCGGCCUGGGAGGGUGGCCGGUCACACUGGGGCUGAGACACGGCCCAGACUCCUACGGGAGGCAGCAGUGGGGAAUAUUGCACAAUGGGCGCAAGCCUGAUGCAGCGACGCCGCGUGCGGGAUGGAGGCCUUCGGGUUGUGAACCUCUUUCGCCAGUGAAGCAGGCCUGCCUCGUUUGUGGGUGGGUUGACGGUAGCUGGAUAAGAAGCGCCGGCUAACUACGUG